rnacentral:rRNA from 1 species
UACGGAGGGUGCAAGCGUUAUCCGGAUUCACUGGGUUUAAAGGGUGCGUAGGCGGAUUGGUAAGUCCGUGGUGAAAUCUCUAAGCUUAACUUGGAAACUGCCAUGGAUACUAUUAGUCUUGAAUAUUGUGGAGGCUAGCGGAAUAUGUCAUGUAGCGGUGAAAUGCAUAGAUAUGACAUAGAACACCAAUUGCGAAGGCAGCUGGCUACACAAAUAUUGACGCUGAUGCACGAAAGCGUGGGGAUCAAACAGG